ACCCGCUGAACUUAAGCAUAUCAAUAAGCGGAGGAAAAGAAACCAACAGGGAUUGCCCUAGUAACGGCGAGCGAAGCGGCAACAGCUCAAAUUUGAAAUCUGGCGUCUUUGGCGUCCGAGUUGUAAUUUGCAGAGGGCGCUUUGGCAUUGGCAGCGGUCCAAGUUCCUUGGAACAGGACGUCACAGAGGGUGAGAAUCCCGUACGUGGUCGCUAGCCUUUACCGUGUAAAGCCCCUUCGACGAGUCGAGUUGUUUGGGAAUGCAGCUCUAAAUGGGAGGUAAAUUUCUUCUAAAGCUAAAUACUGGCCAGAGACCGAUAGCGCACAAGUAGAGUGAUCGAAAGAUGAAAAGCACUUUGGAAAGAGGGUUAAAAAGCACGUGAAAUUGUUGAAAGGGAAGCGCUUGCAGCCAGACUUGCCUGUAGUUGCUCAUCCGGGUUUUUACCCGGUGCACUCUUCUAUAGGCAGGCCAGCAUCAGUUUGGGCGGUUGGAUAAAGGUCUCUGUCAUGUACCUCUCUUCGGGGAGAACUUAUAGGGGAGACGACAUGCAACCAGCCCGGACUGAGGUCCGCGCAUCUGCUAGGAUGCUGGCGUAAUGGCUGU
rnacentral:rRNA from 1 species